rnacentral:rRNA from 1 species
UACGUAGGGCGCAAGCGUUGUCCGGAAUUAUUGGGCGUAAAGAGCUCGUAGGCGGCCUGUCACAUCUGCUGUGAAAUCCCGGGGCUUAACCCCGGGUCUGCAUUCGAUACGGGCAGGCUAGAGUGUGGUAGGGGAGAUCGGAAUUCCUGGUGUAGCGGUGAAAUGCGCAGAUAUCAGGAGGAACACCGGUGGCGAAGGCGGAUCUCUGGGCCAUUACUGACGCUGAGGAGCGAAAGCGUGGGGAGCGAACAGG